rnacentral:rRNA from 1 species
GGGCCCGCACAAGCGGUGGAGCAUGUGGUUUAAUUCGAUGAUACGCGAGGAACCUUACCAGGGCUUAAAUGUAAGUUGCAUAAGUUAGAGAUAGCUUUUUCUUCGGACUACUUACAAGGUGCUGCAUGGUUGUCGUCAGCUCGUGCCGUGAGGUGUCAGGUUAAGUCCUAUAACGAGCGCAACCCCUGUUGUUAGUUGCCAUCGAGUAAUGUCGGGAACUCUAACAAGACUGCCGGUGCAAACCGUGAGGAAGGUGGGGAUGACGUCAAAUCAUCACGGCCCUUACGUCCUGGCUACACACGUGCUACGAAUCGGCCAGGUACAGAGAGCAGCCACUACGCAAGGUGGAGCG